rnacentral:rRNA from 1 species
UACGUAGGGUGCAAGCGUUAAUCGGAAUUACUGGGCGUAAAGCGUGCGCAGGCGGUUAUGUAAGACAGUUGUGAAAUCCCCGGGCUCAACCUGGGAACUGCAUCUGUGACUGCAUAGCUAGAGUACGGUAGAGGGGGAUGGAAUUCCGCGUGUAGCAGUGAAAUGCGUAGAUAUGCGGAGGAACACCGAUGGCGAAGGCAGCCCCCUGGGCUAAGAUUGACGCUCAUGCACGAAAGCGUGGGGAGCAAACAGG